UACAGAGGUCCCAAGCGUUGUUCGGAUUCACUGGGCGUAAAGGGCGCGCAGGUGGGUUUGCAAGUUCGAUGUGAAAGCCCCGGGCUUAACCCGGGAAUGGCAUUGGAUACUGCAGAUCUGGAGGAUCGGAGGGGGGACUGGAAUUCUUGGUGUAGCAGUGAGAUGCGUAGAUAUCAAGAGGAACACCAGUGGCGAAGGCGAGUCCCUGGACGAUACCUGACACUGAGGCACGAAAGCUAGGGGAGCAAACAGG
rnacentral:rRNA from 1 species